AGGACGAACGCUGGCGGCGUGCUUAACACAUGCAAGUCGAACGGAAAGGCCCUUCGGGGUACUCGAGUGGCGAACGGGUGAGUAACACGUGGGUGAUCUGCCCCGCACUUUGGGAUAAGCCUGGGAAACUGGGUCUAAUACCGAAUAGGACCAUGGGAUGCAUGUCCUGUGGUGGAAAGCUUUUGCGGUGUGGGAUGGGCCCGCGGCCUAUCAGCUUGUUGGUGGGGUUAAGGCCUACCAAGGCGACGACGGGUAGCCGGCCUGAGAGGGUGUCCGGCCACACUGGGACUGAGAUACGGCCCAGACUCCUACGGGAGGCAGCAGUGGGGAAUAUUGCACAAUGGGCGCAAGCCUGAUGCAGCGACGCCGCGUGGGGAUGACGGCCUUCGGUUGUAACCUCUUCAGUAGGGACGAAGCGCAAGUGACGGUACCUACAGAAGAAGCGACCGGCCAACUACGCGCCAGCAGCCGC
rnacentral:rRNA from 1 species